rnacentral:rRNA from 1 species
UACGUAGGGGGCAAGCGUUGUCCGGAUUCAUUGGGCGUAAAGAGCGUGUAGGCGGCCAGGUAGGUCGGUUGUGAAAACUGGAGGCUCAACCUUCAGAGGUCGACCGAAACCAUCUGGCUAGAGUCCGGGAGAGGAGAGUGGAAUUCCGUGGUGUAGCGGUGAAAUGCGUAGAGAUCCGGAGGAACACCAGUGGCGAAGGCGACACGCUGGGCCGUACCUGACACUGAUGCGCGACAGCAUGGGGAGCAAACAGG